AUUGAACGCUGGCGGCAUGCCUAACACAUGCAAGUCGAACGGCAGCACAGUGGAGCUUGCUCCAUGGGUGGCGAGUGGCGGACGGGUGAGUAAUGCAUCGGGACCUACCUAGACGUGGGGGGAUAACGUAGGGAAACUUACGCUAAUACCGCAUACGUCCUACGGGAGAAAGCAGGGGACCUUCGGGCCUUGCGCGGUUAGACGGACCGAUGUUCGAUUAGCUUGUUGGUGAGGUAAUGGCUCACCAAGGCGACGAUCGAUAGCUGGUCUGAGAGAUGAUCCCCCCGAGUGGGACUGAGACACGGCCCACACACCUACGGGUGGCAGCAGUUGGGAAUCUUGCACAAUGGGGGAAACCCUGAUGACAGCGACGCCGCGUCGGAGGAUGACGGCCCUAGGG
rnacentral:rRNA from 1 species